rnacentral:rRNA from 1 species
GAUGAACGCUGGCGGCGUGCCUAAUACACGCAAGUCGAGCGAACGGACGAGAAGCUUGCUUCUCUGAUGUUAGCGGCGGACGGGUGAGUAACACGUGGAUAACCUACCUAUAAGACUGGGAUAACUUCGGGAAACCGGAGCUAAUACCGGAUGAUAUUUUGAACCGCAUGGUUCAAAAGUGAAAGACGGUCUUGCUGUCACUUAUAGAUGGAUCCGCGCUGCAUUAGCUAGUUGGUAAGGUAAUGGCUUACCAAGGCAACGAUGCAUAGCCGACCUGAGAGGGUGAUCGGCCACACUGGAACUGAGACACGGUCCAGACUCCUACGGGAGGCAGCAGUAGGGAAUCUUCCGCAAUGGGCGAAAGCCUGACGGAGCAACGCCGCGUGAGUGAUGAAGGUCUUCGGAUCGUAAAGCUCUGUUAUUAGGGAAGAACAUAUGUGUGAGUAACUGUGCACAUCUUGACGGUACCUAAUCAGAAAGCCACGGCUAACUACGUG